ensembl:snRNA U6 U6 spliceosomal RNA
UUGCUUUGGCCACAAAUACACUAAAACUGGAACAAUACAGAGAGAAUCAGUAUGGACCCUGCGUAAGGAUGACAUAAAAAUUCUUGAAGUGUUCCAUAUUAUU